rnacentral:lncRNA from 1 species
CUUUAGCUAGGUGUUUCAUCCCUUAGCACCCAGUCGUCCUCAUUCAUCAAGUGGGGAGAGGGGAAGAAUUCCCAAUUAGCAGGGUUGCUAUAUAAACCAAAUAGAUAUGGAAAGCACUGCUCUAGGAGCUGGGACAUAAUGUACAUGGUCAGUGAUGGCUCUAGAGAUGAUGAUGGUGGUGGUGGUGGCAGUUAUGCUGAUAAUGAUGAUGAUGGGGCCAAUUAUGAUGGUGGAGAUGAUGAUGCUGACAUGGAUAAUGGUAGUGAUGAUGCUGAUGGUGACAGUUGUGAUGGAGGUGAUGAUGUUGACCGGGUAACAGUGAUAAUGAUGAUGGUGAUGGUGACAGUUACAGUGAUAAUCAUGGUGACAGUUAUGGUGGUGGAGGUGAUGACACUGAUAAUGGUAGUGAUGAUGCGGAUGGUGACAGUUGUGAUGGAGGUGAUGAUGUUGACGGUGGUAACAGUUAUGGUGGUGGAGGUGAAGACACUGAUAAUGGUAGUGAUGAUGCUGACGGUGACAGUUGUGAUGGAGGUGAUGAUGCUGGCAGUGAUAAUGGUGAUGAUGCUGACGGUGACAGUUGUGAUGGAGGUGAUGUUGGCAGUGAUAAUGGUGAUUAUAUGAUGCUCACGGUGACAGUUACAGUGAUGCUGAUGGUGACAGUUGUGAUGGUGGAGAUGAUGAUAAAUGGUAAUAUUAGUGAUGAUGAUGAUGAUGGGGUGGUGGUGAUAAACCAGCAUUUGAGGACCUAGGUUGGGCCCAUCGCUCAGAAGGAUAUAAAACUAGAAGUUUGAGUGAGAACUACUGCUUUCAAGAAUGUUUGGUGAGAUUAAAUUAAAAUUCUUGAAAAACUAUUCAACAGCUUGCUAUUAUUAGCAAUGAGGAUAUUUCACAUUUAGUCAGCAUUCACUUCUAUGCCAGGCAUGGCUCCAAGUAGUUUAUAUAUAUUUCUUUCUUUUUUUUUUUUUUUUUUUUUUUUUUUUGUCUUUUUGGGGCCACACCCAAGACAUAUGGAGGUUCCCAGGUUAGGGGUCGAAUUGGAGCUACAGCUGUCCGCCUACACCACAGCCACAGCAGUGCCAGAUCUCAGCCAUGUCUGUG